GUCUCUGUGGCGCAAUCGGUUAGCGCGUUCGGCUGUUAACUGAAAGGUCGGUGGUUCAAGCCCACCCAGGGAUG
rnacentral:tRNA from 2 species